UCCCGUUUUACCGGAGCGGGCUGAUCCGCCGAGGCUACAAUGUAUGUUCACAGGGGUUUGGAGUUGUAAACUCGUAAUGAUUUUCCGUAGGGGGUACCUGCGGAGGGAUCAUUACCGAGUUUACAACUCCCAAACCCCUGUGAACAUACCAAUUGUUGCCUCGGCGGAUCAGCCCGCUCCCGGUAAAACGGGACGGCCCGCCAGAGGACCCCUAAACUCUGUUUCUAUAUGUAACUUCUGAGUAAAACCAUAAAUAAAUCAAAACUUUCAACAACGGAUCUCUUGGUUCUGGCAUCGAUGAAGAACGCAGCAAAAUGCGAUAAGUAAUGUGAAUUGCAGAAUUCAGUGAAUCAUCGAAUCUUUGAACGCACAUUGCGCCCGCCAGUAUUCUGGCGGGCAUGCCUGUUCGAGCGUCAUUUCAACCCUCAAGCCCAGCUUGGUGUUGGGACUCGCGAGUCAAAUCGCGUUCCCCAAAUUGAUUGGCGGUCACGUCGAGCUUCCAUAGCGUAGUAGUAAAACCCUCGUUACUGGUAAUCGUCGCGGCCACGCCGUUAAACCCCAACUUCUGAAUGUGACCU
rnacentral:rRNA from 1 species